UUCCUAAUUAGUGAGCUAGGAUUCUCCGACAUAACACUCCCAUCCCCUUCAAGAAAGACCUUGUCCUCAAGGUCGUAGUUGAGCCACAAAAUCUGAAAAUCGAUGCUUGACAUAGCCCCAAUCUUCCCAAGAAGCUUUCUUUUCACUUAGAUUAGCCCACUGAACCAAUACUUUUACAUCAACACCAUUGUUGACUCGUACCAUCUUUCUCUGAAGAAUGGUUGUUGGUUGAAUCAAGACCUUACCCUCCAUAUUGCAGAGAGGAGGUUGCUGUGCUGGGACGAUGGUAGGACCUAUUCGACAUUUCAGCUUCGAGACAUGAAACACAUGGUGUAUUUGCGACCCUGGUGGAAGUUGUAAUCGGUUUAAGUGGAAUGUGAUGAUCAUGAGUUCUUCCUGGUGGUAGGCACUUUGGUUCAGCAAACACUCCUGGGAAUUCAGCUAUAACUUCUUGAAUCUUGUCAGCCAAGAUUUUGGAUCUCCCUCUUCGAAGUAAGGACAUUGACCUUGGGAUUUGAGUUGCUCGAGUGAAAUCUCCCAGCAGGAUUCUUGUGGUUCUCCAUGAUUCUUCCCCUACUACCAGAUCCUUCUAUUGUAUGAACAGCUGUUAGAGCACUUCCCAAGAUUCCAUCCUUGCUUGCGAAGAAUUUAUCCAUCAUAAGAUCGAAUUUGUGAUUCAAUUCAUUCAUUUUAGAGUCAUUCGACUCCAGCUUCUUACUAGUUUCUGCCGUGUAAUUAUGCAGUCGACUUUAUAAUUUUUUGACGCUUUCUUCUGUAACUUUUGCUCUGGUUUCCGGUACUGUCAUGAUGCCAGGAAUUGCUUUGAUACCAACUUUUAAUAGACUAGGAUUUACUUCAAAGAAUAAUGAAAAUGAAGAAGACAACAAUAUGGAACACAAGCUUUUAUUAUUCAAUUAUCAAUGGAAUUGAAUUACAAUA